UCCGCUGCCGCGCCGCCCCGCGCCCGGCCGCGCUUGGCUCGGGGGAGCGAUGCCGCCGCUCCCCUUGUGCUGGAGCUUCUAUCCGGCGAGGCUGGGGGAUCCCGGCUCUGCCCCCGCUCCCUGUGCCCUGAGCGUUCCUGCUUUCCCCUCCAGCCGCAGGGCUGCCUGGAAAUGCCUGGGUUAAAGCAGAAGGAAACCCAGGCGUACGAAGAGAUCCGUAUCUCAGCCUGCUUCCCUACAAAUACAGCAUCUGCCUUUCAUCUUGUUUGUCUACUCUUUCCCCCCAACAAAACACCCUGAAGAAAUGUUUCUAAAUAAACAUCAAUCAGCAAUCCUGUCAAUCUUCAGAAGUAAUCUGGAGAACUAGGGCUUUCUCACUUUCUUCCUGAAGCUCUACCAUUUUAUUUUAGCUCUAGCAAGGCUGUCAAUUAUUUUGUCUGUAUUAAAAUUGAUCUGAAUUCCUG